rnacentral:rRNA from 1 species
GUCGGGAAUUUUGGGCAAUGGGCGCAAGCCUGACCCAGCAACGCCGCGUGAAGGAUGAAGUUUUUCGGAAUGUAAACUUCACAAGAACGGGACGAAUAAGGUGCAGCAAAUACCUGUACCGAUGACAGUACUGUUAGUAAGCUCCGGCUAACUCCGUGCCAGCAGCCGCGGUAAUACGGGGGGAGCAAGCGUUGUUCGGAUUUACUGGGCGUAAAGGGCGCGUAGGCGGCCGCGUCAAGUCACUUGUGAAAUCUCCGGGCUUAACUCGGAGCGGCCAAGUGAUACUGAUGGGCUAGAGUGCAGAAGGGGCCACUGGAAUUCUUGGUGUAGCGGUGAAAUGCGUAGAUAUCAAGAGGAACACCUGCGGCGAAGGCGGGUGGCUGGGCUGACACUGACGCUGAGGCGCGAAAGCUAGGGGAGCGAACGGGAUUAGAUACCCCGGUAGUCCUAGCCAUAAACGAUGGAUGCUUGGUGUGCGGAGUGAUGAAGUCUGCGCGUGCCGAAGUUUACACGAUAAGCAUCCCGCCUGGGGAGUACGGUCGCAAGAG